UACGGAGGGUGCGAGCGUUAAUCGGAAUUACUGGGCGUAAAGCGCACGCAGGCGGUUUGUUAAGCAAGAUGUGAAAGCCCCGGGCUCAACCUGGGAACUGCAUUUUGAACUGGCAGACUAGAGUCUUGGAGAGGGGGGUGGAAUUCCAGGUGUAGCGGUGAAAUGCGUAGAGAUCUGGAGGAACAUCAGUGGGCCGAAGGACGGCCCCCUGGCCGAAAGCACUGACGCUCAUGGUGCGAAAGUGUAGGGUAGCGAACAUGGAUUAGACGUACCCGGGUAGUCC
rnacentral:rRNA from 1 species